rnacentral:rRNA from 1 species
UAAGCGGAGGAAAAGAAACUAACAAGGAUUCCCCUAGUAACUGCGAGUGAAGCGGGAAAAGCUCAAAUUUAAAAUCUGGUGGCCUCUGGUCAUCCGAGUUGUAAUUUAGAGAAGCGUCUUCCGCGCUGGACCAUGCACAAGUCUCCUGGAAUGGAGCGUCAUAGAGGGUGAGAAUCCCGUCUUUGGCAUGGAUGCACCAGGGCUUCUGUGAUGCGCUCUCAAAGAGUCGAGUUGUUUGGGAAUGCAGCUCUAAAUGGGUGGUAAAUUCCAUCUAAAGCUAAAUAUUGGCGAGAGACCGAUAGCGAACAAGUACCGUGAGGGAAAGAUGAAAAGAACUUUGGAAAGAGAGUUAAACAGUACGUGAAAUUGUUGAAAGGGAAACGCUUGAAGUCAGUCGCGUUGGCCAGGAAUCAACCUUGCUUUUGCUUGGCGUACUUUCUGGUUAACGGGUCAGCAUCAAUUUUGAUCGGUGGAUAAAGAUCAGGGGAAUGUGGCAUCUUCGGAUGUGUUAUAGACUCUGGUCGCAUACAUCGGUUGGGAUUGAGGAACUCAGCACGCCGCAAGGCCGGGUAUUUACCACGUACGUGCUUAGGAUGCUGGCAUAAUGGCUUUAAUCGACC